AUUCGGCGCCCUCUUCAAAUGGCUGUAUAAACCAGAUUAUAGGAGAGUGUGUUCCUCAGUGUUUACUCGGGGAUACCGUGGAGGGAACGGCUCAGUGAAGGCAGUGUUACAGUGCUCUUGACCAGCAUGAGGAAUCCUGCAAAUAAACCUUCCCUUCUGCCUCAAACUGAAACAAGGCUGCUGGAUACCUGGCAAUGAACAGUAUAACAGGGACUUAUCUCACAAAACACUUUAAUGAUUUUAUACAAAGGCAGCUAUUGCAUAAACCUGCCCUCUAUCUGGUAUUGAAAUUGAUUUCACACAAUAAAUUAUAAAAUGCUUCAAUGUC